AACACGGGAAAUGCAAAUAAUCUUGAACUCUGGGGAAAAGGAUCCGCAGCAUGGUGGCCUGCCCUAAGCCCUCAAGCUUCUUCCUUUCUUCGUGAUGAAGUCUAAAUGAGGGUCUCACUCUGUGGUCCAGGCUGUUGCGGAACUCAGUAUGGAGCUGAAGCCAACCUUAAACUCACAGCAUUCCUUCUGCCUCCGUGUCCUGAUUGUUGGGAUUACACACGUGUUGUGCAGCAAGUCCAGGAGAUUAUCAUGUCUCCAGUCC